UAAAGGAAUUGGCGGGGGAGCACUACAAGGGGUGGAGCGUGCGGUUUAAUUGGAUUCAACGCCGGGAACCUCACCGGGGGCGACGGCAGGAUGAAGGCCAGGCUGAAGGUCUUGCCGGACACGCCGAGAGGAGGUGCAUGGCCGCCGUCAGCUCGUACCGUGAGGCGUCCACUUAAGUGUGGUAACGAGCGAGACCCGCGCCCCCAGUUGCCAGUCCUCCCCGCUGGGGAGGAGGCACUCUGGGGGGACCGCCGGCGAUAAGCCGGAGGAAGGAGCGGGCGACGGUAGGUCAGUAUGCCCCGAAACCCCCGGGCUACACGCGCGCUACAAUGGGCGGGACAAUGGGAUCCGACCCCGGAAGGGGAAGGGAAUCCCCUAAACCCGCCCUCAGUUCGGAUCGCGGGCUGCAACUCGCCCGCGUGAAGCUGGAAUCCCUAGUACCCGCGUGUCAUCAUCGCGCGGCGAAUACGUCCCUGCUCCUUGCACACACCGCCA
rnacentral:rRNA from 1 species